rnacentral:lncRNA from 1 species
UGGUGUUAUUACCAAAUGUUUAGCAGUAUGAAACCUAUAAUAUUAUAUACCAUACUAUAUACCCUAUUUUACUUAUAAAGUUAAUAAUCUGUAAAGUAAUUUGUAAAAAUUUUUUAAUUGUAAAAUUGCUACAUGAGAAGACAAGUUGUUAGAUGAAAUUCAAAUAUUCUCUAUGUUUGUGUUGUGUAGGUCAAAAAAUAAUAAACAAAGAUGAUAUUGAUUGUGAUGACCAAGAGAUUCCUUUUAAGACACAUCAAUCUUCAUCAUCUUUAAAUAAAAAGGAUAAACAUUAUGGAUUUCCAUUAUCUCAAGCAAAAACAAAGAGUUCAAAAUAUUAGUGGUAAGAACUGUCAAAAACUUGUGAUAGCUAUGAUGAAGAGAUUUAUGACAAAUUCGCUCAUGGCCAAAUCUAAUAUGGCAGCUGGAAAAGGCAAAGGAUCUUUUUAGCCUAACUAAGCUAUACAACUUAAUAAAAGUUUGUGCAUCGACUUCUCACGAAUCAUACACAGAGUCAAUUGUCGAUGCAAUAAUUGCUGAUUCGUGAAAACGGGCAACUUUUGCUUGUCUUAAAGUGCCUUAUAUCCAUCGUU